AUAUCUUCCGCAGAGUGACGUAACCAUCUUCCAUAUUGGUAUUUUUCUCUGGGAAAAGUUUGUGAUAUUUCAAUUUUUCAAGAGAGAACUUGUUUUCAUCGUUGUGAUAAUUAGUUGUGCAAUGGAUUUUAUCGAACGGGAGUUCAUUACAAACACACAGUUUCAAUAUUAGAUGCCAUAGCAAAUCAAAGAUCAUAUAAUAGAAUAAGUCAAAAAACCCAAAUAUGGAAAAAGAAAGAGCUGAAGAAAUGGUGAUUUGAGCACCUAUGCUUUCUCAUAGGUGUUUUUGGAGGUUUCCAUAUUAGAUGCCAUAGCAAAUCAAAGAUCAUAUAAUAAAAUAAGUCAAAAAACCCAAAUAUGGGAAAAGAAAGAGCUGAAGAAAUAGUGAUUUGAGCACCUAUGAUUUCUCAUAGGUGUUUUUUGAGGUUAACUACAUCAGAAAGAUCAAGACAGUUGGAAAUGGCUAUUCAUAUUAUGGAAACUUUUUCUCACCAGAGCUUGAUAAUCAGGUAAAAUGCUGGAAGAUUAUUUGAUGUAUGAUAACAACAAGAGAUCCCAAGCACCAAUAUAUUUUAUAAUUCUGGAAAAAAAUGCAUUUGACCCAAUUUUUGAAUAUUUAUUUUUUGUUUUUACUGUUAAAUAUUCUUCCCAAACACAAUUAGAUUUUAAUUCUCUACAGAAAUUUAUGUAUAAUAUAGAAUGUAAAGUGACAUAUUAAUCACUUAGAAUUUGGUCGGAAAUUAUAAAGUAUUUAAUAGGCAUAAUCUAGAAACCAAAUGUAGAUCAAAUAUACCCAGAAUUACAAAAAACCUUGACCUACAUUAAGGUGACUUUCCCUUGCUUAUGAAAUGAAAUAGGGUUUAAAAUCCUACUUUUCUGUGUUAUUAUGGUGAUUCUGCCCUACAACCUACUCUUAUAUCAAAUAUUUCAACUGUCAAGGGUUGUUUAAAGGGAACCCAGGAGGGCCGAAUGGUUAACACACGCACAUUGGAUCAGAAGGUCUGUCAUUGAGUCAGAUAAUUCAAUUGUCAAGGGUUCUUUAAAGUAAACGCAGUGGGGGUAGUUUCAAUUCCGGGCUUAUACCCAAUUAUCCCUUGCCAUGUCCUACACUACUAACGUGUGGGAACUAUGUCGGAAAAUCCAGUUGAAAUUUCUUGGCCAAUGCCUUAUACUCACUGAACCACAGUGACUCCUCCUUGCUUUUGACUUGUGAUUUUAUAUAUAUAUUUUGUACAUAUUAUUUAAUGUUUGCGAUUUUCUCUGAUAUUUUUUUAUUUUUCAAUCCUGUAAUCUUGAUGCUUUGCUCCUUUUAUGUACAAAAUAUUCAUUUUGUUUGUUGUUUUUUUUUAAUGAGGAAAAGGUUCUACAUCAUUUUAUUACUCCUGCAAAAUAGUGCAUUUUUCUUUUGUUAGUUUUCUGUGUAUGCUAGUUAUUUCCAGAUGCCUCACAAAUCACUUGUAAUAUGACUUUGUAGCACUUUUCAGUUUCUUAAAGUAUUUCAAUUUAGUGCAUAAUUAAUCUAAUUAGGUCUUGGUUUGGAUGUUAUUAAAUUUAGAUAUAUUUGAAUUAUAUAUUUUUGGGGUAUGGGGUAGGGAUCUUUCUUUUCUCAGUUCUUGUUUUCGGGUAAAGAAAAAAUUAAAUAGCUAUUUUGUAUUU